GCCCGGUGGUUCCUGCAGUCUGCUCAAAGUGCUGAUGUGUGGGUUUCGAAUGACGGGCGCACAUUGACUCUGCGAUUUGAUGCAUGGACGCUGCCGCUCUUGCAGUCUUCCAUAGCCCGGUUGCAGAUACAGCA